GUUCUUGUAGUUGAAUAACAACGGUGGUUUUUCAAGCCAUUGGUUCUAGUUAAAGUCUGGGCAGGAAUU
rnacentral:tRNA from 1 species